CCUACGGGAGGCAGCAGUGGGGAAUAUUGCGCAAUGGGCGAAAGCCUGACGCAGCGACGCCGCGUGAGGGAUGAAGGUCUUCGGAUCGUAAACCUCUGUCAGCAGGGAAGAACGGUCACUGUGCUAAUCAGCAGUGAAUUGACGGUACCUGCAAAGGAAGCACCGGCUAACUCCGUGCCAGCAGCCGCGGUAAUACGGAGGGUGCGAGCGUUAAUCGGAAUUACUGGGCGUAAAGCGCUCGUAGGCGGUAUGUCAAGUCAAGGGUGAAAUCCCCGCGCUCAACGUGGGAACUGCCUUUGAAACUGGCAAACUGGAGUGUGUGAGAGGAUAGUAGAAUUCCAGGUGUAGGAGUGAAAUGCGUAGAUAUCUGGAGGAACAUCAGUGGCGAAGGCGACUAUCUGGCACAUAACUGACGCUGAGGAGCGAAAGCGUGGGUAGCAAACAGGAUUAGAUACCCCAGUAGUC
rnacentral:rRNA from 1 species